UACGAAGGGGGCUAGCGUUGUUCGGAAUUACUGGGCGUAAAGGGCGCGUAGGCGGUUCGGUAAGUCCUGUGUGAAAUCCCUCGGCUCAACUGAGGAACUGCACGGGAGACUGCCGGGCUUGAGUUCGGGAGAGGGAAGCGGAAUUCCGGGUGUAGCGGUGAAAUGCGUAGAUAUCCGGAGGAACACCGGUGGCGAAGGCGGCUUCCUGGACCGACACUGACGCUGAGGCGCGAAAGCUAGGGGAGCAAACGGG
rnacentral:rRNA from 1 species